GGGCGUGUAACUCAGUGGUAGAGUGCUCGCUUCGCAUCUGGCACGGUGUACUGCGAGAAGUCCAGGGUUCAACUCCCUGCUCGUCCA